UCUGAUGAACACAUGUUCUUUCGCAGGUGACUAACAGUUGGCACCUCUGUCUUUACAUUACAUCAGGCCAGCACUACAAAGCCCAUGUAUGCCUCUGCCUGCCUGCUCAAUGGACGAUCCGAUCACAAAAAAGUGGAUAAAAAUACUCAUCAGUUUGUCAAAAUACAUGUUUGUUAUCUUAGGAAUGAGUAUAGCUAUCACCAGAGUACAAGCAAAUAUUUCAAUUUUUCCAUGAAGCAAACUUAUGUUAUGAUUAUCACAUUUUGAUCUUGGAGUAAUGAUUGACGAAACUAGAUGGUUACUGCAGUCUGCACCAGUCCAGUAUUUCUAAUUACAAGUUUGAGCUCCAUAGGGAUAAUCUGAUUAGUGUAUCACAAGCUUGCUGUUUCUAAUUGUGCAAAUUCUGUAGUUAUUUUAGUGUUUUGCAGAAUGCAUAGAUUUUCCAUAACAGAAAGAAGUGGAUGUAUAAUCUGAUUUUGCUUUUGGUGCCAGUUGGCUUUGGAAAUCCCAGUUUCUCCAGUAUUGUAACUCUCUGUCAAAUUGUCAAAUUAAACUGAUCUUUCUAUUUGGACAACUUGUAAUUUGUAAUAUUAUGAUUUUCCUUUUCAGAAACCAAUUCAACUAGACCGGGACUAUGUUUAUUAGUCCUCCAGUGUUUGUUGGAAUGAGAUGACCCAUGGUAUGCCAGCUAACAAGCAACUGAAGCAAGAAGAUUUUUGUAAUUUCUUGGAAAGAAUGAGCCCCUGAACCCAGGAUGGCGAAGGAUCCAAUAUGUCAGGACCAAUGAGGGAAUUGCAGAGCUUCAUAUUCAGUUUAUUUUAGGUGCUUGCCUACUUCAAGUGUCUAGAUUACAGGAAACAUGUUUCUUCAAGUGUCUACUUCAAGUAAGUUUCUUAUAGAAGUAGUCAGUUUGAUUCCUUCAAAAUAGUUGUUGCCUGAUAAUUUGUGUAUGACUAAAUAGCAGUACCUCAAAUUUUGCUUCAGCUUCUUAAAACAGAGUAAUUCUGUAAAUCCUAACAGAACUCUAUCAAUCUGAACCAAUUUCUUGUAAAUCUACAAUAGCCUCAUCUGAUCGAAUCAUUGGUUUCAGAUCAAUACAUCCUUGUGCAUUCCCAUAUGAUCAAUAAAAUUCAGUUUGAUUGUGUCAAAAACUUGCUGCUUGACAAUCUGUAUGACUAGAUAGCAAUACCUUAAAAUUGCUUUUGGUUUUAAACUGAACUGAACUCGGUUGGGGCUGAACUGAACUCAGUUUGGUUCUACUAUAGGGUUGUAUUCAUCAUUCUAUAAAAACUGAACUGAACUGAACGUUCGGUGGGCAAAAUAAUUUGAUGGACUGUAGUUUCUUUGAAUUUUUCUUGUUAACUCUAAACUGGACUCAACUCGGUUUGAUUUUGUAAAAAAGAUUGUGACAGACUUAUAUAUAUGCAGCAGUCUUUCGCCAACACUCAAAUUAGAUGGGCAUGAUAUUUAAAAGAAAUCGACAGACUGUAGUUUAUGAGAAUUUGGCAAGAAACUCGGAACUGAUGGACUUGACUUGUGAAAAAAUGUAAUCAAUGGACGACUACAGUUUAUAUCAAACACAGUAUCGAUGGACUUUCGCAAUGCAGGCUUG
rnacentral:lncRNA from 1 species